GAUGAACGCUGGCGGCGUGCUUAACACACGCAAGUCGAACGGUGAAAGCGGAGCUUGCUCUGCUGGAUCAGUGGCGAACGGGUGAGUAACACGUGAGCAACCUGCCCCGGACUCUGGGAUAACAGCUGGAAACAGCUGCUAAUACCGGAUACGCGCUGCGAAGGCAUCUGCAGCAGCUGGAAAGAACUUCGGGCGGGGAUGGGACCGCGGCCUAUCAGGUAGUGGGUGGGGUACCGGCUCACCAAGCCUACGACGGGUAGCCGGCUUGGGAGGGGGACCGGCCACACUGGGACUGAGACACGGCCCAGACUCCUACGGGAGGCAGCAGUGGGGAAUAUUGCACAAUGGGCGCAAGCCUGAUGCAGCAACGCCGCGUGAGGGACGACGGCCUUCGGGUUGUAAACCUCUUUUAGCAGGGAAGAAGCGAAAGUGACGGUACCUGCAGAAAAAGCACCGGCUAACUACGUGCCAGCCGCCGCCGUAAAAC
rnacentral:rRNA from 1 species